UACGUAGGCGGAAAAUUAAGUCAGUAGUGAAAUCCUGCAGCUUAACUGUAGAACUGUUAUUGAUACUGGUUUUCUUGAAUAUAGUUGAAGUAGGCGGAAUGUGUAAUGUAGCGGUGAAAUGCUUAGAUAUUACACAGAACACCGAUUGCGAAGGCAGCUUACUAAGCUAUGAUUGACGCUGAGGUACAAAAGCGUGGGGAGCGAACAGGAUUAGAUACCCUGGUAGUC
rnacentral:rRNA from 1 species